rnacentral:lncRNA from 1 species
GGUCAAAGCUUCUCUUCUUUUACUUUAUGGGAUGGAAGGUCGGAUCUACUCCCAAGUGAUGAGUCAUCACAUCUGCAUUUAUACCAGGCAUAUCCACUGCUCUCCAAGCAAACAGGUCCAUAUUUUUCUGUAAAAGAGCAGUUAGCCGAGCUUUGGUUAUCUGAUCUAUGAAUGAUCCUAUUUUCACAGUUUGGUGAAGAUUUUUCUUCCUC